rnacentral:rRNA from 1 species
AUUGAACGCUGGCGGCAUGCCUUACACAUGCAAGUCGAACGGCAGCACGGGAGCAAUCCUGGUGGCGAGUGGCGAACGGGUGAGUAAUAUAUCGGAACGUGCCCGGUCGUGGGGAUAACGUAGCGAAAGCUACGCUAAUACCGCAUACGAUCUACGGAUGAAAGCGGGGGAUCGCAAGACCUCGCGCGAUUGGAGCGGCCGAUAUCAGAUUAGGUAGUUGGUGAGGUAAAGGCUCACCAAGCCGACGAUCUGUAGCUGGUCUGAGAGGACGACCAGCCACACUGGGACUGAGACACGGCCCAGACUCCUACGGGAGGCAGCAGUGGGGAAUUUUGGACAAUGGGCGCAAGCCUGAUCCAGCAAUGCCGCGUGCAGGAUGAAGGCC